rnacentral:rRNA from 1 species
UACGAAGGGUGCAAGCGUUACUCGGAAUUACUGGGCGUAAAGCGUGCGUAGGUGGUUUGUUAAGUCUGUUGUGAAAGCCCCGGACUCAACCUGGGAAUGGCAAUGGAUACUGGCAAGCUAGAGUGCGGUAGAGGGUAGUGGAAUUCCCGGUGUAGCGGUGAAAUGCGUAGAGAUCGGGAGGAACACCAGUGGCGAAGGCGGCUACCUGGACCAGCACUGACACUGAGGCACGAAAGCGUGGGGAGCAAACAGG